rnacentral:snoRNA from 1 species
GUGCACAUUUCAUUUAUCUUUUUUCUUUAUGUCGAGAGAAAAGAUAUUUCUGAUGUGCUAAACAAACCUUUGGAGGUAAAUUAGCAGCAUGACUAAUUUAGCUGUUGCCGUCAGUCACCUUCAGACAAAC